CCUAUAAAAUAGCCCCAGGGGUCAUAAAUAGCUCGAGGCGACGGUAACUUAAUAUUUGUCGUAUAUCCUAGUGCUGAAUCAGGUCCAGUGAUUGUACGCUUACAGAGACACGAACAUUUUAAUGAAUCGUCGUCCGACACGCUGUUACAUUGUGUUGCCAUUCUGGAAAAAAUACUGGAGCGUUAAAUAUAAAUUUAAACGAGGGUUCGGACUGGUAGGGUCAGCAAGGCGCAUGUAACACCAGUUGCAGGCGUCCAUAGGCUACGGAGACUGCUUGCCAUCAGACAGCAUGUUUGUUUGCCACUGACGUAGUAUUAAAAAAAAACUAGUCAAAACCGGUUACAGACUUAUGAUUUCAAAAUGUACAUUUUAUAUUUGUUUAAAAGCAGUUUAAAACGGUUAGUUUAAUCUUUCAGCUGUAAGGCUGUAAUGUAAAUAAUGCACUGACUUAGGUCCCGGAUGCUGACAUAUUUGCUGACAAGUUUAGCAAGUUUAUCAAAGCCUGUCUGCUUUGAACUUUAUCCAAAGUAGUAUUUUGUUUUAGUUGUCAGUUUUUUUAUUGUGUUAUUUUUAUUUUAAAUUUGUUGAAAGGUACUUAUUUUAUAUUUCCCGUGUAAGUUACUUAGUUUUGUACUGUAUACUUAUACGUGAGGAAUAAAGUACAUUGAAAUUUGAAUUGAAUGUAAGUAGAAAAAAAACCUUAAUAUCAUUUAUUAAAUGUCUUCUAUUAUAAUAGUAUUAAAUAUUUCUAAAUACGUAUAAUGUAAAUAUGGCAACACUGCUUGUCAACCGAGGGACCGUGCGAGGAGAGAUCAACAAGUCCAGACUACGAUCAAUAUGCCCAAGCACUCCGCUCGAGGGCGAGCAAGACGACUAUACGUCUCCCUUGCUCUACAAAAUUACGGAUCCUUACAAUUCCGACCCUUAUUUUCAGUUUCACGCCACAGAUUUCAUGUUUCAAUCCUGUUGACCGUUAAACUACCGCUUGCGUAAAACCAUUUGUUUAUAAAAUGGCGUUUUUCUGUCAUCAAACUUAAACUCCGUUGAUUAGGUACUGUUUAAUUAUAAUACUUCUAUUUCUACAGGGCGUAGCAUAAUGACUUACUGUGAAUUUUAAUUCAUACGUGUCUUAAUGGAAAAACUCAUUAUUGUUUACAUGGAAUAAUUGCAUCUUUAACUUAAUUCGGGUACGUCGAUCAAUACAUGACUGGCCUGACAAAUGUUUAUUGCUCUUGAAGAUAGCCUUGUUAAAUGAUUCAUUGUCCAACCAAACUACGUUCUUGUCACGUGUUACCAAGUCCUUUAUGUGAGGACUGAUCUUGUCACUGUCACAAGUUCACAACACAUUCCAUCAUGAUUUUGAAAGAUAGAAUGUCGUAAACGUAGUUUGUCGGUUAUCAGUAAGGACGACUCCUUAAUGUCAGAAGCGCCUAUUAUGCCAGAAGCGCCUUAAAGUCAAUGUACAAAGGGAUAAGUUUGGUACAAAUACAUACAUUACUCUACACUACGCUCUCCCCAUGCGCCUCGGCAAAGACUUGCUGAAAGAGUAUCUAUCUACUCCGUAUACGCAUAGCACAAAUGUGUUACGUGAGUGAGAGCCGUUGUUUCCCGUCUGCGCCCCUCGCUCAAUCCACUUUUAUAGGGGACAUUUUUCAAUAUGUAAAACUUUCCUAAGCAGGACUGGACUGAUAAUACCUAACUGUGUUUAUAGUUAAGACACGAUAGACUCAUUUAUUAUGAACAGCAUUUUUUUAUACCAGUAGAGUUACUUUGUGGGCGAUUUUUUUUAUUUUGUUGUCGUUUUUCGUUUCUCUCAGAUUUUCAUAAAAUUUUGUUGGAUAGACAGAGUUCUUUAUUAUGUACGAGUACAACAUAAGCCUAAUUUCACCGUAUGUCAUACAAAAUCUCCCACUGAGUUACGGAAAACGUAUGGAAUUUUCCGUAACUCAAUGGGAAUUUUCAUAAUUUUUUUUUGUCCAAUUUGGAUUUUGUGUUAAUAGAGAAGAAUAGCUUUGCGAUCUUAGCGACAUAACGGUAUUUUUUCUAUGAAAUUCCAUAUCGGGAGAAAAUGUUUUCCACUAAAUAAAUCUUAACAAAUCCCUUUAAUUUGGAUGUCGAUCGCUUCAGCAUAUUUUUUUUUUUGCAAAUUAAAAAAAGGAAAUCCUAUAAACUUAGUUUUUCAUUGUGUUAAUAACAUAGGUACAGUCAGCAUCAAAAGUGGCGGAUCAAAUAACGUUUCAUAAGUAACUACCAUUCUGUAACAGCGUAUCAAAAAGUGAUGUCUUUAAUAUAGAACAACUAAGACUGUAAAACUAUUGAGCGCGAUAUACUUUUGAGCGCGAAUUUUAGAAAUUUAUAUAUAUUUGGAAAAGUUAUCUGGAAUAUCAGAUACUUUUGGCGCGUUGUUUCAUCCGCUACUUUUGAUGCUGACUGUACAUCAAGCUUGUUAUAGAUUAUAUUGCUUCAUAAAGCAUUGUUUUGCUUAGUGAUUCAUUACUAGAUACAAUGUAAAAACCGCAUAACGCUCACGCUAUUUGCAAUCACAGCAUUAAUAAGCUGAUGGCGAUUUCAUAGAUUCAGAUUCAGAUUUUUUACUGGUAAAAAAAAAUACAGAUAUUACACGUCAAAUAAAAAUACCAUAUUCAUAAUUUAAGAUAACUUAAAUGUGCGGUAUAGCUAUAAUUAAAUUACAGUUUCAAAAUAUCAGUUAUUUACAUGUCAAGUUAAUAAUCGUAGAAUGAUGUUAUAAAUUGAUUUAGAAUUAAUAACACAUACUACUUACUAUAGGGACUCGUGGUCCAUAACUUUUACUACACGUCUUUAGCCAAAAGCUUUUUCGUGUGGCCAUUGACAAAAGACCCAAAGCUUUAAGCUACACGCAUUUAAAACUAGUUAGCCGAUUAAUCUUUUAUGAAACAGUCACAAGUUGAGUUAAAGUUUAGUUUUAUACUACCAAAAUACGAUCUGACUCGCUGUGAAGUUCUUUAGUUUUUGAGUCCUAAACCAGCGUGGCCAAAGUCCACGAAUAAUUUACGUUAUUCUACGCUAUAAGCUUCAAGAAAUUAGUACCGUAAAACCACCCAACUAUAGUCCAAAGCUCCCAACUAUGGUCCACAAAUAAACUCAAUUUUUCUCGUUCAGGUAUGUAUUUUACUAUAUUUUUGUAGUUCUAAGGCAAAGUAUGUUUAGAAAUGAAAGGUAAAACUAGGAGUAAUAGUUAGGGAGGCGAGGUAGCUAAAUGGCGUAAUUCAACGGCGCCGUCGAGACCUAUCAAAAUCGAAAGAUCAAAUAAUUUCGAAAAGAAAAGCUCGUAUGAUAAAAACCAUUUUAGCGGUGGGUUUGGCGUGUACGGUUUUUCAAAAAUGUUAAAAAAAACAGUUACUUGGGCAUUCUCGAGCGCGUCAGAUAUUCAUACUACGUAUGCCCCAAGUGCCUCUGAUAACAACGGUAUACUAAUCUGCCGGUUUGCGUGGUGGGGGUAGGAAUAUAAAGUAGUCAAAAAUUAAAAAAAAAAAUAA